rnacentral:rRNA from 1 species
AUUGAACGCUGGCGGCAGGCCUAACACAUGCAAGUCGAGCGAGCGGCGGACGGGGGAGAAAUGUAUGGGGACUCCCCGAUAGAGGGGGAUAAAUACUGGAAACGGUGGCUAAAAACGCAGAUGGUAGCAUAACCAAGAGGGGCUGGGCUAGUAGGUAAGGUAAUGGCUUACCUCGGGGCCGAGCCCUAGCGGGUCUGAGAGGAUGAUACGCAAAACUGGGACGGUGACACGGCCCAGACUCCUACGGAGGCAGCAGUGGGGAAUAUUGCACAAUGGGCGCAAGCCUGAUGCAGCCAUGCCGCGUGUAUGAAGAAGGCCUUAGGGUUGUAAAGUACUUUCAGUCAGGAGGCGUUACCGACAGAAGAAGCACCGGCUAACUCCGUGCCAGCAGCCGCGGUAAUUC